AUUUACUUAGUUUAUAAAAACAUUUUAUUUUCAUUAAAAAGAAGAUUUAACUCAGUAAAUU
rnacentral:tRNA from 1 species